rnacentral:rRNA from 1 species
UUCGCCCUUAGAGUUUGAUCCUGGCUCAGAGCGAACGCUGGCGGCAGGCUUAACACAUGCAAGUCGAGCGGGCCCUUCGGGGUCAGCGGCAGACGGGUGAGUAACGCGUGGGAACGUGCCCUUCGGUUCGGAAUAACUCAGGGAAACUUGAGCUAAUACCGGAUACGUGCGAGAGCAGAAAGGUUUAUCUGCCGAAGGAUCGGCCCGCGUCUGAUUAGCUGGUUGGUGAGGUUAUGGCUCACCAAGGCGACGAUCAGUAGCUGGUCUGAGAGGAUGAUCAGCCACACUGGGACUGAGACACGGCCCAGACUCCUACGGGAGGCAGCAGAAGGG